AAGUCGUAACAAGGUUUCCGUAGGUGAACCUGCGGAAGGAUCAUUAUCAAUGAUAUCCAUCAUACCCCGUGAACAUUAUGAACUGACUUUGGGGAGGCCACUCCCCAAUUUUUUAACACACCUUUAUACUUUAUAGCAGAGUCAAUUAGGAAACUAAUAUAGACAACUUUUAGCAACGGAUCUCUAGGUUCUCG
rnacentral:misc_RNA from 1 species